AGGCCCAACAGGGGGCUCGCGCGCUCGUUUGGGCUCGGCGGCCGGAGAAGACCGGCGCACUGGGCCGAAGCCGCUCCGCCAAGGUUGGGUCGUGGCUGCCGGGACUCGUCGCCAGAAGGCCUCCUGGGCCGCCCUUCCGCUCUCCCGGGGCUGGGCGGCGCUGUCUGGCUCUUCCUGCCGCGCUCCGGCCACUCCCCCACCGCCCCUCGCUUGGCCCAGCCGUGGCUGCCGUGCUCUGCACGCAGUGCCUCCCUCGGGCGUGGGUCUGCAGGAGACCCAGACAGGGCAGCGGCCGGCACUACCGCGCCGCGAUUUGCACAGAGUUGAAGAAGACCCUGACCAUUGAAGAGGUGGCCCCCCGCCCCGUCGGGCUCACGAGGUCAGAGUUGAUGUCCAUUUCUGUGGAGUUAACUUUGGUGAUAUUUUGAUCUGCCAUGGUCAAUAUCAGGAAAGGCCCCAUCUUCCCUUCACACCUGGUGAGUAUGGGGAGACCAAGUGACUGCUUCAGGGAAAAAAGAUACAGGGAGUUUUCCGAAACAUGCCCUUGGUCUCAGGCAGUUCUCUGUUGGUGUCUGCCUGCCAUCAGUGAUGGUUCAGUUAGAUGUGUCCGUCUCACUGUGAAUUGGGAUCACUAGAUUGUGAGCCCCAUGAGGGCAAACUCUGUGCCUGUCUUGUUCAAUAUUAUAUCCCCCAGCUUAGCAUUGUACGUGGCUCUUAGUAGGUGCUCAGUAAAUACUCUACAAAUGAAGAAAUGAACAAAUGAAUUUUCACCAAAAUUCCGUUCACCAGAAUUAUCAUUGGUCCUAGUCAUUCAUUCCCUUUCCUUGCUUGAUAUUGCCCCAAUUUUGUUUCUUCACGAAGGAUCACAGACAUCUGUGUGCAGCUAAAACUUCAGCCUCACAGACACAUUCCCAAUAAAACGUAAUGCCAAAGGAUCAGGGAGAAGAAAAGGGUGUGGAUUUCUUAGCAGCCCUCUGUCCGAUUUUUGUUCCCAAUCUACUUCUAGACCCUGAACAUGUGGACAAGUGACUGAUUUUUGCUGUUGAAAUGUGUUUAAAGGGAUAUAAGUAUAGCUUAGCAUGUAUAUAGUACAUGUAUAUUUUAUACAGAUAUAUAUUAUUAAAGAUAGAGUGAUUGCAAAUAGCUACCGUGAUUUAGUCUCAGGGUAUUUGAUUGUAUCUCAACAGUUGGAACCAUUUCCUUCUGUUUAUAUUUGCUGAAAUACUGGUUGAGGGGAAGAUGUCAUACUCAACUGAGUUAUUCCCCUGGCAGCUCAAGUAGGAAACAUUAUAAUUACUUCAGAAAUUUCAGAGGUGAAAGAGGAAACGGCAGACAACAUCAGUUCAUCCAGUUGAGCCAAGUACUGUCUGAAUAAACACAGUUCAUGUCCUUGAGGGCCCUAUAGUCCAGCAGAAGAGACUUGAAAACAGAUAAAUAGGAUGAACAUUGUCAUUGGGGUGCUAUAGGAGGUCCCAGUGAUUAGGGUCAAAAGUACCUGUGUACCUGUGAUUCUCUGCGCUUUUGCACAUUCUUGAAAUUUUCAUUUGUGUCAUGGUAAGAUUGGGACUGCUAUAGCUUCCCAGGUUGUGAUUGUGAAAUCUUAUGUUUACUUUCAUCUGCUUUGGGUAUAACACCCUUAUCUCUCUGCCUGCAUAUGGAGAGGGGGAAGGGCACCUAAACUCCUUCAGCUCCAAAAGCUGUUGGACUAGCCUGUCGAUCAGUGUUUUCUCAUCUCCAUGGUGUUGUGUUUUAUAGAUAACCUAAUCUUUAAACAAUAUGUUUUCAGGAAUGGAGUUUUCUGGGACAGUAUUGGAGACAGGCACAGAUGUCAGCACAGUUAAACAGGUAAAUUAGUUGAAGUCUAGGGAAUCAAUAUGCAUGGAGCUAUGAAAAAUGUGCUAACUUCAUUUGUAGCCGAAGGGUCUUGCUUCUGCUGGCUUUUGCCUGCAGACACCAAAGGGCAACCUAAAUAGAAAGGUAAGAAACAAAUUCUGAAAUGGGGAAAGGAAGUCAUUGGAAGUUCCUGGCUGCAUUAAACUUUUUAUUAUGAAUAAAAGAUGACACCUCAGUCUUUAACUGAGAGGACAGAGAACUUGAGCCUCUUGUGAAGUUAAGACUGGGCUUCUAAUUCAAACCAACCUUUGCCUUACUCUAUCUCAUCGUCUCAAAUAUGCUCACUCAAAUUGGCGUGACAAUCUGGUGGUGGUAUUGAGAGAAUUACUAUUUUAUUUACUAAACAUUAACUCUGAAUAGAUAAUUAAGACCAACCUGUGUCUUUUGGAGUCAGAGAUGUGCAUUUUUUUUCUUUUUUGAUUAACUCAGGAAAAGGAAUGCAAGGUCAUGCAUUUGCACAUAUCUUUAAUGGUAUGUUUCCUUUAGGGAGAUAGAGAUAGAAUUAAAGAUAAGAAACUUUAAUUGUAUAGUUGAAGAAUGCGUCACUGACCAGAAGGUAUCUGUACCACUCAAGAUUAAUGGUUGAAGAUGUUUUUUCUCCUUUGUUUUGCUUUAAUUUCCACCUAUCCCUCGUUCCUGUCUUCCCCUCUCCUUCUUUUUCUUUGUGUUUAUUUAGUCAUGUCUUGUUUCUCAGCUAAGCACUUCAUUUUUUCAAAUAUUAAACUCCUUCUCUUCAUUUAUGUGACACUUUGCACAGAGCUUUGUUUGUGUUGAGUGUUUUAAUGAAGAACAACAUUUUGUUUUCUGAGUCCUUGAGCUGGCUGUUCAUUUGGACUAGGUAGUUUUAGUAGAAAAACUGGUUUUGGGCAUUGAGCUGGAUGUAAUGGGCUACUCCCCGACACAAAGCUUGUGAAAGUGAUAGCCCUGGGAAUGGAGCCAGCCAGGGUAGUCUAGUAUGGUGGUGCAGGGUGUGAAUGGUGCCCCCUCAUGGUGGACAGUACACAAUUGUCCCCCUCAGCUUUAUUGAGGUAAAACUGACAUAUUAGACCAUUCACCCGUCACAGUACCGUGAUCUGUGUUCGGUUCUCUACCUGUUGGCUCCUUCCUGAGCCAGAUGCUAGCCUUGGGGUUUUGAAGUCUGAUGCAUUCAAGUCCUGAAAUCUGCUACAGCUUGCUUAGUUUUGACUUCCACUGGGCUUGGUUAUGGGCAGGUGUUUCCCUUUGCCAAUCAGUCACUGAAUCAAAUCCUAAUGUUUACUGAGCAGCCUUUAUGAGUAGGUACAUACACUCAAUCCGUAAGUCACUAUUAUCUCUUUUAUAGGACCUGUGGCAGAUUCCAGAAAAGGUCUCCCUACAAGAAGCUGCUGUCCUCCCUAUAACUUAUGGCACUGCAAUUUUUACUCUUGAGCAUCGGGCCCAUUCCCAGCCUGGAGAAAUUGAAAUUGUUUUAGUGAUGGCAGCAGCUGGAGCCACAGGCCUUGCGGUGAUGUGACAACAAAUGUUCUUCAGGCCAAGGUAAUAUAGCUGCUGCUGGAAGUGACGAGAAGUGCAAGGUGGCGGUGCAGAGGGGUGCGCAGUCCAGCGUGAACUACAGUUAGAGCAGGCUGAAGGAGGCAGUGAGGAAGCUGGUGGACUAGGGCAGGGUGAAUGUGGCCAUCGACAUGGUGGGAGGAGACAUCUGCCUGAAGGCUGUCCUCAGCCUGGCAUGGGAGGGCAGGAUUGUGGUGGUGGGAUUUGCUGGAGGAAACAUUGCUUCUGUACCAGCCAAGCUUCUGCUCCUGAAGAAUGUCUCUGCCGUGGGCCUGUACUGUGAUUGAUACAAAGAAAUGAACUUUCCCGUCUUCUCUAAGAGCCUAUCUUCGGUGCUUCAGUACUGCCAGCAAGGGCACAUCCAACCAUAUGUUGGAAUGGUUUCCAAGCUGGAGGAGGUGAGACACACUUAAGGGAUGUGAUGCAGGUCAGUGAUGCCUUCCUUCAUGUGAAACAGGGGAAAUCCAUGGGCAAGGUGCUUCUCGCUGUUAAAUAAAUCCUCGCCUGAGCAGCAAAGUUAACAUGUCCAGAUCAAAACUCCACAUCUUUCCCCAAAACCUGAUUUCCCUUCUGUGUUUCCAAAGGUGUUACCACUUUCCUUACUAAUCCAGGUUUAAAAUCUUGGAGUCACCUCUGAUUCUGUUACAACAGAAUCAACUCCUAACUAGUAUGAUUAUAUAGUUUAUUGUCCAAACCUUUUUGAGAGUAAAAGGGUGCCAUUAGUAAUUACAUCAGGAAAACAUAUCCCAGGCAAACCAGGGUGUAUGGUCAGUCUACUCAAUGCAUUAUGAAAUGCAGUGAUUGCCGAGUUCUGUCGUUCUCAUCUCUAAGAUAUCUCUCAUGUCCAUAUCCUCUUCUCCAUUCUGACUAAUUAAGCCUGAACUGCUAUCACCAGUGACCUUCUAACUGCUUUUCCUACCUUUAAACUACUCUCACCCCCUCCAUCCUUGUGAUGCAUUAUUGCCAUGGUGAUCUUCCCGAAGCAUAGCUCUGACUAUGGCCCAUUUCAGAAAACUACAGUGGCUCACCAUUGCCUGAUGGUGGAGUUCAGACCCUUUGAGCUAGCAUUUCAUUAUGACUGUGAUUUUUCCCCGCACCACUUUCCAGCCUUAAGUAUGUACUGAACUUUCCUGCCUCCCUCAUUUUGCCCUGCUUGUGCAAUUUUUUCCACCCUCCAUCUCUGUCAAACAUAAGCCUUCCUGACCUCUAAGACCUGCCUUUGUCAUGUGCCUUUACCCUCAGGCAAGGAGCAGUCUCUUCUCUUCCUCUUCUACCUUCCUGUAGCUUCCCUAGGAUUUGUCACAUUCUGCCUUGAAUCAUAGGGAACGACAUGUGUAGUGGAGUGAACACAGACCUCUGAAUCCAAGAUAUGAGUUUAAAUCCCAGCUUUGGAGGUGGUUACUUAAGGUCUCAGUGCCUUCAUUCUUCUCCCUGUAUAAAGUAGAUAUUACAAUAUCUAACUUAGAGAGUCAUUGGGAGCUAUACAUGCAGUGAUUGGGUAAAGCACCUGGCAUAUGGCAAGCAAUUAGCAAAUGCUGGUUACUUCUACUUCUUUCUCUUCUCUUUUCCCAAUGUAUCAUAAGUUCCUUGAGAGCAGGCACCAUAUCUGAUUUACCCUUGUAUUUCCCACAGUACUUCCCAUAGUGAGUUACCCUUAGUAAACAGUAAGUUGAAUUGAAUUUAAAUUACCUGUAAGUUUUAAAAUGCGGGAUUAAAUUAAGAAUAUGUUGCUUUGGAAACACCCAAAUGUCUAUCGAUGGAUGAAUGGAUAAACAAAAUGUGGUAUACACAUAAUGGAAUAUUAUUCAGCCUUAAAAAGGAAUGAAAUUCUGACAUGUACUACAAUAUGAUGAACCUGGAAGACAUUAUAUGUGAAAUAAGCCAGACAGAAAAGGACAAAUACUAUAUGAUUCCACUUAUAUGAAGUA